rnacentral:rRNA from 1 species
AGAGCAAGUGGUGGAUGCCUUGGCUAGUAGAGGCGAUGAAAGACGUGCCAGGCUGCGAUAAGUCUCGGGGAGCCGUCAAGGGGCUUUGAUCCGGGAAUUUCUGAAUGGGGCAACCCAACUAAUAGAGAUAUUAGUUACCGUAUAACGGAGCGAACGAGGGGAAUUGAAACAUCUUAGUACCCUCAGGAAAAGAAAUCAAAAGAGAUUACGCUAGUAGCGGCGAGCGAACGCGUAAGAGGGCAAACCACUAGUUUACUAGUGGGGUUGUAGGACUGCAAUAUAGACUAAACUUAGCUAAUAGAACAACCUGGAAAGGUUAGGCACAGAGGGUGAUACCCCCGUAUAUGAAAGCUUUGUUUUACUUAGCAGUAUCCUGAGUAGGGCGGAACACGUGAUAUUCUGUCUGAAGCUGGGUAGACCACUAUCCAACCCUAAAUACUACUACUAGACCGAUAGUGCACAAGUACCGUGAGGGAAAGGUGAAAAGAACUGAGGUGAUCAGAGUGAAAUAGAACCUGAAACCAUUUGCUUACAAUCAUUCAGAGCCCUAUGAUUUAUCAGGGUGAUGGACUGCCUUUUGCAUAAUGAGCCUGCGAGUUGUGAUGUCUGGCAAGGUUAAGGAAACCCGGAGCCGUAGCGAAAGCGAGUCUUAAUAGGGCGUUUAGUCAGACGUUGCAGACCCGAAACGAUGUGAUCUAUCCAUGAGCAGGUUGAAACCGGUGUAAGAGCCGGUGGAGGACCGAACCCGCUAGCGUUGAAAAGCUAUGGGAUGACUUGUGGAUAGGGGUGAAAGGCCAAUCAAACAUCGUGAUAGCUGGUUCUCUCCGAAAUAUAUUUAGGUAUAGCGUCAUGUAGUAACACUAGGGGGUAGAGCACUGAAUGGGCUAGGGCAUACACCAAUGUACCAAACCCUAUCAAACUCCGAAUACCUAGUGUGUAAUCAUGGCAGUCAGGCGGCGAGUGAUAAAAUCCGUCGUCGAGAGGGGAACAACCCAGACUAACAGCUAAGGUCCCUAAAUCUCAUUUAAGUGGAAAACGAUGUGGAGUUACUUAAACAACCAGGAGGUUGGCUUAGAAGCAGCCAUCCUUUAAAGAAAGCGUAAUAGCUCACUGGUCUAGUGAUUCUGCGCGGAAAAUAUAACGGGGCUAAAAUGAGUACCGAAGCUUUAGACUUAGUUUUACUAAGUGGUAGGAGAGCGUUGUAUUUGCGUUGAAGGUAUACCGGUAAGGAGUGCUGGAGCGAAUACAAGUGAGCAUGCAGGCAUGAGUAGCGAUAAUUGGGGUGAGAAUCCCCAACGCCGUAAACCCAAGGUUUCCUACGCGAUGCUCGUCAUCGUAGGGUUAGCCGGGUCCUAAGCAAAGUCCGAAAGGGGUAUGCGAUGGAAAAUUGGUUAAUAUUCCAAUGCCAACUAUAAUGUGCGAUGGAAGGACGCUUAGAGUUAGAGGAGCCAGUGGAUGGUAUGCUGGUCGAAAGGCGCAGGUUGGAAUUCAGGCAAAUCCGAAUUCCUUUAAGCCGAGGCCUUACAGGUGCGUGAAAUUCUUCGGAAUGAAUCGUAAAUCCUUGAUACUGUCGAGCCAAGAAAAGUUUCUAAGUUUAGUUAUAGUUGCCCGUACCGUAAACCGACACAGGUGGGUGGGAUGAGUAUUCUAAGGCGCGUGGAAGAACUCUCUUCAAGGAACUCUGCAAAAUAGCACCGUAUCUUCGGUAUAAGGUGUGCCUAACUUUGUGAAGGAUUUACUCCGUAAGCAUUGAAGGUUACAACAAAGAGUCCCUCCCGACUGUUUACCAAAAACACAGCACUCUGCUAACUCGUAAGAGGAUGUAUAGGGUGUGACGCCUGCCCGGUGCUCGAAGGUUAAUUGAUGACGUUAGCUCUGCGAAGCGUUUGAUCGAAGCCCGAGUAAACGGCGGCCGUAACUAUAACGGUCCUAAGGUAGCGAAAUUCCUUGUCGAUUAAAUAUCGACCUGCAUGAAUGGCGUAACGAGAUGGGAGCUGUCUCGAAGAGGGAUCCAGUGAAAUUGUAGUGGAGGUGAAAAUUCCUCCUACCCGCGGCAAGACGGAAAGACCCCGUGGACCUUUACUACAGCUUGACACUGCUAUUGGGAUAAAAAUGUGCAGGAUAGGCGGGAGGCUUUGAUCCAUAGACGCCAGUUUAUGGUGAGCCAUUGUUGAGAUACCGCUCUUUUUUAUUCUGAUAGCUAACUAGCUUGAGUUAUCCUCAAGUAGGACAAUGUCUGGUGGGUAGUUUGACUGGGGCGGUCGCCUCCCAAAAUGUAACGGAGGCUUACAAAGGUUGGCUCAGAACGGUUGGAAAUCGUUCGUAGAGUAUAAAGGCAUAAGCCAGCUUAACUGCGAGACAUACACGUCAAGCAGAGACGAAAGUCGGUCUUAGUGAUCCGGUGGUUCUGUGUGGAAGGGCCAUCGCUCAAAGGAUAAAAGGUACCCCGGGGAUAACAGGCUGAUCUCCCCCAAGAGCUCACAUCGACGGGGAGGUUUGGCACCUCGAUGUCGGCUCAUCGCAUCCUGGGGCUGGAGCAGGUCCCAAGGGUUGGGCUGUUCGCCCAUUAAAGCGGUACGCGAGCUGGGUUCAGAACGUCGUGAGACAGUUCGGUCCCUAUCUGCCGUGGGCGCAAGAAGAUUGAGGAGAGUUGACCCUAGUACGAGAGGACCGGGUCGAACCAACCACUGGUGUACGAGUUGUCCUGCCAAGGGCACCGCUCGGUAGCUAUGUUGGGAUGUGAUAACUGCUGAAAGCAUCUAAGCAGGAAGCCAACUCCAAGAUGAAUCUUCUUUUAAGAGCUCAUAUAGACUAUGUGUUUGAUAGGCUGGGUGUGUAAUGGAUGAAAGUCCUUUAGCUGACCAGUACUAAUAGCUCGUCUGCUUAUCUU